GAAUUUUGGACAAUGGGGGCAACCCUGAUCCAGCCAUCCCGCGUGUGCGAUGAAGGCCUUCGGGUUGUAAAGCACUUUUGGCAGGGAAGAAAAGGCUCGGGCUAAUACCUGGAGCUGCUGACGGUACCUGCAGAAUAAGCACCGGCUAACUACGUGCCAGCGGCCGCGGUAAUCCGUAGGGUGCAAGCGUUAAUCGGAAUGACUGGGCGUAAAGCGUGCGCAGGCGGUUCGGCAAGAAGGAUGUGAAAUCCCAGGGCUUUACCUUGGAACUGCAUUCUUAACUGCCGGGCUAGAGUAUGGCAGAGAAGGGUAGAAUUCCGCGUGUAGCAGUGAAAUGCGUAGAGAUGCGGAGGAAUACCGAUGGCGAAGGCAGCCCCCCGCGAUAAUACUGACGCUCAUGCACGAAAGCGUGGGGAGCAAAC
rnacentral:rRNA from 1 species